rnacentral:rRNA from 1 species
GAUGAACGCUGGCGGCGUGCCUAAUACAUGCAAGUCGAGCGAACGGACGAGAAGCUUGCUUCUCUGAUGUUAGCGGCGGACGGGUGAGUAACACGUGGAUAACCUACCUAUAAGACUGGGAUAACUUCGGGAAACCGGAGCUAAUACCGGAUAAUAUUUUGAACCGCAUGGUUCAAAAGUGAAAGACGGUCUUGCUGUCACUUAUAGAUGUAUCCGCGCUGCAUUAGCUAGUUGGUAAGGUAACGGCUUACCAAGGCAACGAUGCAUAGCCGACCUGAGAGGGUGAUCGGCCACACUCGAACUGAGACACGGUAGAGACUCCUACGGGAGGCAGCAGUAGGCAAUCUUGCGCAAUGGGCGAAGGCCAGACGGAACGACGGCGCGUGAGUGAUGAAGGUCAUCGGGUCGUAAGACUCUGUUAUUAGGGAAGAACAUAUGUGUAAGUAACUGUGCACAUCUUGACGGUACCUAAUCAGAAAACCACGGCUAACUACGU